GAGGGUCCACAUGUUCUGGAUAUCGGGAUUGUCCUUACCUUUGAGUGGCUGAGAACGGUCACAUCUCGGCUCCGUGCUCCUCUUCAGCAAGGAGCUGAUGAUGGAGGAGGUGAGCGGGAGGAAGACGUACGGUGGAAGCGCCCCACACAAAGAAGCGGAACGCCGGGUGGCGGCAGCAAUGACGGCCAUACGUGCUGAGCGCCACAAGCAGAAUGGCAAGCACCGCAGCGCCAACGAUCCCACCGUUCAGUAGAUUGAACAGAUUCUCACUUUCACAGGACACCAAUGGAUUCCGAUUCUCCGUAUCUUUGGAGCAGAGCAAACCUCUCUAGGUAGCUAGCUAGCAGUAGUGACU
rnacentral:lncRNA from 1 species